UACGGCUGCCGUAGGCCCCGAAAGGUAGUGGCGGGCUCGCUAAGUCUCCGAGCGUAGUAGAAUCCUAUCUCGCUAUGGACGGCUUCGCGGGUUCCGGCCGUUAAACACCCCCUUAUACAAGGUUGACCUCGGAUCAGGUAGGAAUACCCGCUGAACUUAAGCAUAUCAAUAAGCGGAGGAAAAGAAACCAACAGGGAUUGCCCCAGUAACGGCGAGUGAAGCGGCAACAGCUCAAAUUUGAAAUCUGGCUUCGGCCCGAGUUGUAAUUUGUAGAGGAUGCUUUUGGUGAGGUGCCUUCUGAGUUCCCUGGAACGGGACGCCAGAGAGGGUGAGAGCCCCGUAUAGUCGGACACCGAACCUCUGUAAAGCUCCUUCGACGAGUCGAGUAGUUUGGGAAUGCUGCUCAAAAUGGGAGGUAUAUCUCUUCUAAAGCUAAAUAUAGGCCAGAGACCGAUAGCGCACAAGUAGAGUGAUCGAAAGAUGAAAAGCACUUUGAAAAGAGGGUUAAAUAGCACGUGAAAUUGUUGAAAGGGAAGCGCUUGUGACCAGACUUGUGCCGGGUUGAUCAUCCAGUGUUCUCACUGGUGCACUCUGCCCGGCUCAGGCCAGCGUCGGUUCUCGCAGGGGGACAAAAGCUUCGGGAACGUGGCUCCUCCGGGAGUGUUAUAGCCCGCUGCUCAAUACCCUUGUGGGGACCGAGGU
rnacentral:rRNA from 1 species